rfam:Macaca mulatta chromosome 10, whole genome shotgun sequence.
GGACAUGAGAGUGAUCUGGCUGCGAUAUCUGUCACCCCAUUGAUUGCCAGGGUUGAUCUGGCUGAUCUGGCUGGCUAGGCGGGUGUCUCCUGUCCUCACCACUUCGUGUGUGUCCCUCCCGAAGCUGCAUGCUUGGUCGAAGAAGACGACCAUCCCCAAUAGAGGAGGACCGGUCUUCCAUCAAGGGUAUACAAGUAGCUGUGCUCCCCCCCUAGAACCUCCAAACAAGCUCUCAAGGACAUGAAAAUAGAUAAGGAAGUAGAAUGAAGAAUAAAGAGGGAAGUUCAUUUUUUGAAGCAACUAAGGUGAUCUUU